GCUUAACACAUGCAAGUCGAGGGGCAGCAUGGUCUUAGCUUGCUAAGGCCGAUGGCGACCGGCGCACGGGUGAGUAACACGUAUCCAACCUGCCGUCUACUCUUGGACAGCCUUCUGAAAGGAAGAUUAAUACAAGAUGGCAUCAUGAGUCCACAUGUUCACAUGAUUAAAGGUAUUCCGGUAGACGAUGGGGAUGCGUUCCAUUAGAUAGUAGGCGGGGUAACGGCCCACCUAGUCUUCGAUGGAUAGGGGUUCUGAGAGGAAGGUCCCCCACAUUGGAACUGAGACACGGUCCAAACUCCUACGGGAGGCAGCAGUGAGGAAUAUUGGUCAAUGGGCGAGAGCCUGAACCAGCCAAGUAGCGUGAAGGAUGACUGCCCUAUGGGUUGUAAACUUCUUUUAUAAAGGAAUAAAGUCGGGUAUGGAUACCCGUUUGCAUGUACUUUAUGAAUAAGGAUCGGCUAACUCCGUGCCAGCAGCCGCGGUAAUACGGAGGAUCCGAGCGUUAUCCGGAUUUAUUGGGUUUAAAGGGAGCGUAGAUGGAUGUUUAAGUCAGUUGUGAAAGUUUGCGGCUCAACCGUAAAAUUGCAGUUGAUACUGGAUAUCUUGAGUGCAGUUGAGGCAGGCGGAAUUCGUGGUGUAGCGGUGAAAUGCUUAGAUAUCACGAAGAACUCCGAUUGCGAAGGCAGCCUGCUAAGCUGCAACUGACAUUGAGGCUCGAAAGUGUGGGUAUCAAACAGGAUUAGAUACCCUGGUAGUCCACACGGUAAACGAUGAAUACUCGCUGUUUGCGAUAUACUGCAAGCGGCCAAACGAAAGCGUUAAGUAUUCCACCUGGGGAGUACGCCGGCAACGGUGAAACUCAAAGGAAUUGACGGGGGCCCGCACAAGCGGAGGAACAUGUGGUUUAAUUCGAUGAUACGCGAGGAACCUUACCCGGGCUUAAAUUGCAGAUGAAUUACGGUGAAAGCCGUAAGCCGCAAGGCAUCUGUGAAGGUGCUGCAUGGUUGUCGUCAGCUCGUGCCGUGAGGUGUCGGCUUAAGUGCCAUAACGAGCGCAACCCUUGUUGUCAGUUACUAACAGGUUCCGCUGAGGACUCUGACAAGACUGCCAUCGUAAGAUGUGAGGAAGGUGGGGAUGACGUCAAAUCAGCACGGCCCUUACGUCCGGGGCUACACACGUGUUACAAUGGGGGGUACAGAGGGCCGCUACCACGCGAGUGGAUGCCAAUCCCCAAAACCUCUCUCAGUUCGGACUGGAGUCUGCAACCCGACUCCACGAAGCUGGAUUCGCUAGUAAUCGCGCAUCAGCCACGGCGCGGUGAAUACGUUCCCGGGCCUUGUACACACCGCCCGUCAAGCCAUGGGAGCCGGGGGUACCUGAAGUGCGUAACCGCGAGGAGCGCCCUAGGGUAAAACUGGUGACUGGGGCUAAGUCAUAAC
rnacentral:rRNA from 1 species